GUGCCGCGUAGAGGUCCUUGUGAGUUAAGCAAUACAGGAAACUCUGCCUUAACCCUGAAGAUGUCUGGGCCACUGUUGAUAUCACGAAGAAUAUUACAUUGCCUCAUUGCAUCAAUAAUAUUAUGAAGAUCUGACAGGAAAAGUAAGAGGGGCCCACCUCUGCAAUAGGCCUGUUUCCCUUCAGAAAAACAUGCCUGCAGCAAUCCUGGAGAGGCUGUCCUCUGAAUGUUUGUGAAGAAGUCAGUCGAGCGGUACCAAAGGUGGGCAGUUGUGCAGAUGUCCCCUCAGAGGAGCCCUGGCCAGUCAGCGGAGGGCCUCCGGCUCUCAGGCCUUCAGGACUUGCCUCGGUCGUGCAAAGCUGUUCCACUCCAGGUCACACCCCUUGCAGGGACGCUCACCCCUGGUGACUGAGUCAGUGAGGCCUGGGCAUUUUGACCUGACAUAGAGCCCUGUGGGAGCCGAAACUCCCUUUUGAAUGUCCCACCAAGUCGGCAAGAUUUUCUCAGGCCUGCAUUGUAGUUCAAGUUCUUGUGCCUGGCCCUGCUUCUUGUCUUUCCCAGA